rnacentral:rRNA from 1 species
AAGGGAGCUUGCUCCCGGAUGUCGGCGGACGGGUGAGUAACACGUGGGUAACCUGCCUGUAAGACUGGGAUAACUCCGGGAAACCGGAGCUAAUACCGGAUAGUUCCUUGAACCGCAUGGUUCAAGGAUGAAAGACGGUUUCGGCUGUCACUUACAGAUGGACCCGCGGCGCAUUAGCUAGUUGGUGAGGUAACGGCUCACCAAGGCGACGAUGCGUAGCCGACCUGAGAGGGUGAUCGGCCACACUGGGACUGAGACACGGCCCAGACUCCUACGGGAGGCAGCAGUAGGGAAUCUUCCGCAAUGGACGAAAGUCUGACGGAGCAACGCCGCGUGAGUGAUGAAGGUUUUCGGAUCGUAAAGCUCUGUUGUUAGGGAAGAACAAGUGCAAGAGUAACUGCUUGCACCUUGACGGUACCUAACCAGAAAGCCACGGCUAACUACGUGCCACAGCCGCGGAACGUAGGGCAAGCGUUGUCCGGAAUUAUUGGGCGUAAAGGGCUCGCAGGCGGUUCUUAAGUCUGAUG